UUCAGAAACCGCAGAGCCGAGAACGGGGGUGAAGACUGGUGGGGAGGCAAAGCUUCCUCGAGGCAGGAAGACCGGAAAAGGUUCAAGGCAGGAAGACCGGAAAAGGUUCAAGGCACAGUCUGGAAAAAAACGAUGAACACGAGGGGCAGCCCCAGGAUUUGAGACCCAGUAGAUGACAGACACACAAUCAAUAGCUAUUGAAUUGACGUUAAUCCAAUCCAGAAUUGGGCAACGGAGCAUGUGUCUGAACAAGGCAAAGCCUAUUCCUCCCCCUGAACUGGAAUAGCAAUUUUCAAAGCAGCCUGAAAGGAAUAUUUCCAGGAGUUUAUAGAAACCAAAUGAUUUCAAGCAAGAAAGUAUGAGUGUUUGCAGUUUUGGAGAAAAGAAAGUUAAUUUCUGCAGAGUCAAAAGCAUGCAGUUGAAAAGAAGAAAAAUUUACCAUAAAGAGGAUGUUCAGAAGAAAAAUGGGAAGAAUCUGGUAGAAAGAGUGACACUUGAGUCUGUUAAACAGUAAUAAUGGAGUGGAAAUCAAAGCAACACAGCAGAUGUAUUUAGGCCACUUGUUUAUUUAUUUCCAGUCAUGUUGAAAAGCAAACAGUUGAAGCUCAGGAGAAGGAGGGGCAAGACAAGGAAUCCAGCUGCCUGGAAAAGAGAGGCAGGGAAGUGGAGGCAUCUGGUCGGCAGAGGGGAACAUCCUCAAACCCUUCCCAAAAAUGAGGUCCACCCACUCGGAUGAAGGUUUAGACAUGACAGGUCAGCUCUAGCAUGCAGCUCCCAAAUGGAUUUAACCUCAACACAAGGUAUUUCUGCAUGAGAGCAUGAGCAGCGUUUGAACUAACAGAAGAAAGCAGGUGCCUCCCCCCCAACAACUGCAAGUGGGCAUCCUCCAGUUCAGGUCAUGGAAGCCCUGACCAAAACGAAAAGACAGAGGAUGGGAGAAUAUGUUCUGUCUGCCUGCCCUCUAAAGCUAGCCCAUCGGUCCUCCCCUGCCCUCAGAGCGGGCCUGACACUUUCUUGGGUCUCAGGCCUUUGGGCUCAGCCUAGAACUAUAGCGCCAGCUCUCCUGGCUUCGCAGCUGGCUGCCUGCAGACUGUGGGACUUCUCAGCCUCUGUAAGUGCGUGAGCCGAUGCCUUGUAACCACCAGCCCCCCAUCCACCUGUGAUGUCAUCCAAAGGGUUGCAAAACCCUCACCUGUCUCAUUAGGCAAGACUUUCAGGUAACGUACAGCCGUCCUCACAGAUUUUCUUUGGCUGCUGCUUACUUCAAAGCAAACCACUGGAGGACCUUGUUACUUUUUCAGAAGGCUGUUUGCUCUCCUUUGCACCUCUCACAAAGGCAUAUUGCCAACUCGAACCAAUCUGAUCUUCCCCACAGCAACGAGCUCAGUCGCAUAAACAAAGGAUCAUUAUAACCUUAGUCCAGGAACAAACAGACGGACCUCAGCUCUGCAAAAUCAGUCUUUUUCCAAAACCAGAAUCAAGUUCUUCACAAAGAGACAGCAAGGUUCACUUCAAGGACUCCUGAGAAAUAAUCUCAUUUCAAUAUUGCCUUUAAAGAUUACUCUAGGAAAUGAAUCUUUUUCCUUUUCCUUUUUGGGGGUCUAAUGUAUUAAAAUGAAAGUCAACAGUUUUAGGGGAAAAGUUUCUCCAUGGAUUCAUUCAUGGGUAA